rnacentral:misc_RNA from 1 species
UUGAAAUAAACCUGAUGGGUUGUUGCUGGUUCUCUAGGGAGCAUGUGCACGCCUUGUCAUCUUUAUAUCUCCACCUGUGCACCUUUUGUAGACCUUCCAGGUCUAUGUUGCUUCAUUUACCCCAAUGUAUGUUAAUAGAAUGUUGUGCCUACAAAAUACAUA